ensembl:lncRNA
AUCAUAAAUAUUCUAAUAAAUGUCAAAAAGGAUAUGGAUAUAUGACUUCUUUAUGUAAACAAAUGUUCGUGAAUAAAAAAGACAUGUUAGGUAACUUGAAACAAAAACUUAUUAACCUUGAAAAUAAAGACUUGCAAUUUUUGGAACUGUAUGAAAAACUGUUUCAAGUAACAAAUAAACAACAACAAACAGUGUUUCAAAAUGUUUUUAAAAAUACAAAUAAUCCAUUGGAACCAUCAAACAAUAUCGAUAUUGCGAUUGCUAUGGAAUUUGAACGUGAGAAAAAAAAAAUACAGAAAGAACAGGAACGGGAUGAAGAAUCAGAAUCAGAAGAGUUAUUGAGAGAUGUAGCAGAAGAGGCGCUUAGAAAACUUGCUGAAAGGAUAUUAAGAGAAGUUGCAUUGAUGGUUGCAAAUGUGGCUAAAGAGGUGGCAAUGGAGCAGGCUAAGCAUUCAAAGGUGGUAUCAAGGGAACAGGUUAAGCAGCCAAAGGAGGUGGUCACAAUGGACCAGGUUAAGAAAUCAAAGGAGGUUGUCACAAUGGACCAGGUUAAGAAGUCAAAGGAGAUAGUGGCAAAAUCCAAUGUAAUAUCGGAUAACAAUGGAGUAGAAAAUAAAACAAACAAAGAUACACCCAAAAUGGAUGACUUUAGGAAUAAGGCAAGUGAAGUUACUACAGAUAAUAUUAACACGUAUAACAAACUAAAACAAUUAUUCACAUAUUGUCGAUGUAUGUCUAACGAUAAAAAAAAAGAACUAUUUUUUGAUCGUACAAAUCAUGAUGUCGAUUGUAUAUUUAAAUAUUAUACAUCUGAUGUACAUGACGAUUUUGAUUAUUUAAAAAAAAAAUACAAUACUUAUAACAAGAUGGCUGAUAAUUGUAUGAAGAAUAAAAAUGUAGAAACAAAAGAUAAGAAUUUUUUUACGCUUAAGAAUAUGAAUGUGGAUAAGUCCAUAGAAGAAGUUAUAAAUGAUAUAUGUGGUAAAAAAAUGGUAGAAACAAACGAAUUAGAAGAGUUUUUUUAUAAAUUACUGAACAUGAAAAGAGAAACUUGUGUUUUGUGUGUGUGCUUAAGAGUAUACUAUUCCCGUUUUUUUAAUAAACUAAAAAAACAAUUAAAGUUUGACACUUUGAACAAACAAUUCGAUUACAUUUUUAACAACAACUAUUUAAAUAUUAUAAAGUUAUAUAAUGUAGAUCACACAGUUUACUCAAACGGUUUUAAAAACGGAUAUUAUUAUUCUCAUGGGUGUGUUAAUGUGAAUGAUGCAAAUGCUAACAAUAACUGUAAUUGUAACUGUAGCUGUAAUUGUAGCUGUAGCUGUAGCUGUAGCUGUAGCUGUAGCUGUUGUGAUAUGAUGUGUUGUAGCAGUAACGAUUAUAGUAAGACCAAUUCAGGACACAACUGCCACUGCUCAAACAUUCUGAAUUACAUAAAUAUCGACAAUAUAAAAUCUUGCUUUAUUUAUUUUUUACAAAAUAUAUGGUCAUGUUUUGUGUCAGAUAUAUUAACCAUACCUGACGAGUUGGAACAACUAUAUGAUAUUUUACAAAAAAAAAAAAAAAAAAAAAAAAAAAUAAAUUUAGUCGGUGAUAAAAGUUGGCAAUUUAUUAAAUUUUUAAAAAGAGAAAAUGAUAAAACCGUGGAAAACAAAUAUAUACCCACUAUUAACACUAGUAAUCAUAAUUUUAACAGCAGAAACAAUUGUAAUGAUCUAGAUGAUAACGACUUUAUAUUUUUCUCCAAUAAUGAUAGUGAUGAAGGAGAAAUAAGUGAUGAAAGUGUAUCUAGUGACAGUUUUAACCAGGUUAGUAAGACCAAUAGUGAUGCUAAUAUGGACGAUGUAACUGGUAUAGAUGAAAAAGAUGAAAAACAGGACAUAGUGCAGGACGCAUUAGUUUUAUCGAAUUUUUUGUUUUUGGAUGUGGAAGAAACAAAAAGGAGUAUGUCGACACAGGACAAAAAUUGUAUUAUAAGAAAAGGAGUUACCAACAAUAGUUUGGAUCGAAAUGGUUUGGAUAAAAAUGGUUUGGAUAAAACUGGUUUGGAUAAAACUGGUUUGGAUAAAACUGGUUUGGAUAAAACUGGUUUGGAUAAAACUGGUUUGGAUAAAAAUGGACAUCCGAACGAUCGAAUUGACACUGGUUGUGCUUAUUCUCUAUUUAAUAGUACUACUCCUUAUAUCAAUGAACAAAAUGAUAAUAAUGUUAUGACUGGGCAAGACAAAUGUGUCGAUCUUGGUAUUACGAACAAAAACGUGAGCAAAAGUAACGAAAUGGAUAGUCAAACAGAUGACGAAACGGAUAGCCAAACAGAUUGUGUAAUGAGUGAUGAGAAUAAAAAAAAAAGUGAAAAUAAAAAAAAAGUAUCAAAGUACCAACCAUUCGAUUUAAAUAUAUUAAGUCAGGAUGAGUUGAACAACUACAUAUCGAACAAUAAAGACAUUCGUACUUUAAAAAAAAAUUUAAAAACCCAGUUUAAAGAUGAGGACUUGGUAAAUCUGAUGCAACAAUUUUGUUUUAAAA